AAAUAUUAUUAUUAUGUUUGUCGGAAUGCAGUAAUUUUUUGAAGGAAUGCGAGUGAAUGGUGAUGGUGAACACAUUCAUUUAGAUUAUAAAAAUAACGGUGACCAAUAAAUGAAUUCCUUUUUUUCGUGAAUAUAUGAUAAUAUAUUUGUUUUCAAAAUGAAUGUCCCAAACACCGGUUAAAUAUCUCAACAAUUCAUUAGUGUGCGCAUAUUAUAGCUGAAAGUAAAUUUAUUACCGUCAGGGAAAAAAAUGUGACGGUAAUUUGUGUACGAUACGAAUUGGGAUCGAUUGCCGAGUCGCGGACGAUCUAAAACGAAACGAGAAGUGUUUAGUAAACAGUAUACCGAGUAUCUUGUUAACCGAUUUCAAUUUAUGGGGUAACGUCGUCGUUUAUAAUAAUAUAUAGUGGCGCGCGCACGUUAGUACCUACGUAACGAAAUGCCACCGAUCAAGACGUUUUCAAGUGAAUUCUCUAAAACCGAUUCGUACGGUUUACCUGAUUAAUGACUACGAUUAUUUUGCAAAUACGGUCAAGUUGAGUCUUUUGCACAAAAGAACGUUUAGUGUUUUUUCCUCCUCGUCCUCCUCUCAUCCUUUUCCACGUCCACCGACGGCGCGCUCCAAAGUUAUAUGGAUUUUUAUUUUUCCACCUUGACCAACGAUUCAGAACUAAACUGACCAUUGACAACCCACGAGUUAUAUAUUAUAUUAUGUUAAUGUAAUAUUGUAACAAUUCGGUAUCGAUGGAAAUAUAUUCGAGUAUGAAAUUCACGAGUUAAGAGUAAAAUAAUGAACCUCAAUAAUCACGUCUUCUUAAGAGUACAAUAAUGGGCCUAUUAUAGGUUAGCAGACUUUUUUCUAUCAGUUUCAUCCCAUUUUAGUUUCUAAACACGAGUUUAGAACACCAACAUCUUAUAUUCCCGUUGUGUCCGAUAGUUACCUAAUAGUAGGUACAUAAUAUAAUUACAAUUGAAUAAACAAAUAACUUAAAAUGUUUCUAUUCAAAGUAAAUUCAUGCUAGUCGAAAUUAUUAAAAAAAUAUCAAAAUAUGAGUAUUUAAUAAAGAUUGAUAUAGCCAGUCUAAAAAAAUAGAUACCAAAAUAUAAAGGUUACCAAACUCUAUUUAAAUUGUAUUCAGAACUAUAGUUUGUUGCGUUUUCAAAUUUUGCAAUAUUAUAUUAAUGGUUAAUAUUUUGUUCUCAUGCGGUGCACGCCAAAGCUAUGGAAUAGUAUUUUGCCACCUUGACCAACGAUUCAGAACCAUAUUGGCCAUACAAAACCCACGAGUUAUAUGUUAGUUUAAUAUUAUACCAAUUCGGUACUGAUAAAAAUAUAUUCUAGUAUAAUUCACGAGUUGAGAAUAUAAUAAUGUAACUAUAUAGGUAAGCAGAUUUUUUUUUAUCAAUUUCAUUCCAUUUUAUCUCUAAACAUGAGUUUAGGACACCAUCAUUUUAUAUCCCUGUUGUGUCGGCUAGUUUAGUUUAGUUACCUAAAAGUUCAAUUAUACAUAAUUUAGUUACAGUUGAAUAAAUAAAGUAGUUUAAAAUCGUUAAAAGUAAACUCGUAUUAACCUACAGGAUCAAAAAUAAUACAUGUAUCGAAAUAUGAGUACUUAAUUUGGAUUCACAUUAUCUAAUAUUAAAAAAUAAGUAUCAAAAUAUUAUAAAGGUUACCAAAUUAUUUUUAAAUUGUAUACGGAGUUUAUCGCGUUGUAUUAAAAUACGUUUAGAAACCAGAAAUUUAGCACGCUCGCAGAGUGAGCUUUCCCAACUUGUUUUUUUUUUCAACGCGCAGCUGCAUGUAGGGACAUGUCGGUGGAAGAUUAGGAUCAAAGUUCUGAAAAGUUUUUGCAUCUCUCGCCCACAUCUACUGGCCAUAUGAUUAAGUCAUAUAUUUCCAGUUCCUGAUCGGCUUAUAAGUCGACACGAUUUGUGAAAAUGUUCCGGUAUAAAACUAUAGGUUUUUCUUACCGUGGUAAAACACGAACACUAAUAUUGUACCAGUCUAUACGCAAAAUUUCACUGUAACAUCUUGUACACUCACGGAGAGCGGUACAGACAGUCUUGAUAUUUAACAUGGAUAUAUUUUUGGGCUGGAUACAAAAUUUUUUUCCAACCAAUUUUGCGUAGGUAACGCUUUGUUUAUCGCCAUGGAAACGCAAAUCAAUAAAAUAAAAUAAAAUAUUAUAUUAUAUUAAAAAUCAAUCUUUAAUUCUUAAUUCAAUAAAUUCCUAACAAAAUGUAGCACGCUACUUGAUAUUUUAUCACAUACCCAAAUACAUAUCUAUGAUUCCUCAAAUUGUUCAUGCAGAGGAAAAGUAUCUAGUAUAGCAUGCUACAUUUUUUCAAUGUCUUAAAUACCUUUUCCCGAAAUCAGUAAGUACAAGAAAAUACGAUGUCACACCCUAUAUAAUAAUUUAUCGUAAUAACUUAUUAAGCAUAAUAAUUUUAUUCUUUUAAUAGCCAAUUUAAAACAGAAAAUAAUAAUAAAAACGAAAUUGCCCUUCACUUUUUCGAAAUUUAUCGAUAAUCUUCUGAUUUUAUUGUUUAUCCUAUUCAAUUAUAGACCACUUCCAAUAUUUGAAAUGAUCAUAUUAUUGGUAAAUGUGGACGAUGGCCAACAACCAAGCCAUUAAUAUUGAAUUAUUAAUCUAUGGCUUGAGCAUACCCCAAAUCGACUUUUCACUGGUGCUCUGGCUAACAGAUAUUAACAUAACACCAUCUGUGUUAUUUUAUGCGUUUGGAUAUUGCAUCUCCAGUCAGAAAAAAAAAAUUCGGUUAUUAUUUAUUAAAGAGAAAGUAAUGACGAAAAUCCGGUAUUGAUAAUAAUAUGAAACACAAAGAACACCCAUAAUCACCCAAUCGAUGAAAAAACACCAACUCAACACGCUGACCAUCGGAUACACAUUGUAAAUAUUUACCUUUUUACAAUAAUUACUCGAGCACCACUGGAAGACAUCCAAACCACACCUACACGAGGUUAAUGUCUCGAAGGCGUACUUGUCUUUACCACCGUGCUACGAUCAAGUAUAAUAUAGAUCGGACUCGUAAAACUUCUAAAGAAAAAUCAGAUUUAUUUGUUGAAAGAUCAGCUAUACGAAAAUAGCAAGAUUGCAAGGUACUUAUACCUACCUACGUCGUACACGUCACGUGCUAUAUACUCACACACUAUACAUUAUUAUAUUGUUAUUAUUAUUUCAUAUACUAUUAUAUUAUAUAAAAUAGAAUUCAGUAAAGACACUAAACAUGAAAACUUUGCUUGUAAUAAAUUAAAUGUCCUCUUCAAAACAGAAUAAUAACCAUCGUUUUAGGAAGAAAAAAUAAAUGUUAGGAUAACGUUUUAUAAUAUAUGAUUACGCAUGACUUUA
rnacentral:lncRNA from 1 species